ACGCUGGCGGCAGGCCUAACACAUGCAAGUCGAGCGGUAGAGAGAAGCUUGCUUCUCUUGAGAGCGGCGGACGGGUGAGUAAUGCCUAGGAAUCUGCCUGGUAGUGGGGGAUAACGUUCGGAAACGGACGCUAAUACCGCAUACGUCCUACGGGAGAAAGCAGGGGACCUUCGGGCCUUGCGCUAUCAGAUGAGCCUAGGUCGGAUUAGCUAGUUGGUGGGGUAAUGGCUCACCAAGGCGACGAUCCGUAACUGGUCCGAGAGGAUGAUCAGUCACACUGGAACUGAGACACGGUCCAGACUCCUACGGGAGGCAGCAGUGGGGAAUAUUGGACAAUGGGCGAAAGCCCGAUCCAGCCAUGCCGCGUGUGUGAAGAAGGUCUUCGGAUUGUAAAGCACUUUAAGUUGGGAGGAAGGGUUGUAGAUUAAUACUCUGCAAUUUUGACGUUACCGACAGAAUAAGCACCGGCUAACUCUGUGCCAGCAGCCGCGGUAAUACAGAGGGUGCAAGCGUUAAUCGGAAUUACUGGGCGUAAAGCGCGCGUAGGUGGUUUGUUAAGUUGGAUGUGAAAUCCCCGGGCUCAACCUGGGAACUGCAUUCAAAACUGACUGACUAGAGUAUGGUAGAGGGUGGUGGAAUUUCCUGUGUAGCGGUGAAAUGCGUAGAUAUAGGAAGGAACACCAGUGGCGAAGGCGACCACCUGGACUAAUACUGACACUGAGGUGCGAAAGCGUGGGGAGCGAAC
rnacentral:rRNA from 1 species